GUAGUGUCAUCAAAGGCAGGUUAAAAGAGAAAAUAGAUUUCAUGUGCAACAGGUGUACUGAGACAGUAAGCAUAAGAAUGCUUGGGAAAUAGAUACUCUCAAAUGCCCAUCAGCUCUCUAGAAGUAGUUGAUAGCUUUUGCUACUUAUGCGACGAAAUUAGCAGUAGAAGUGGAUGUUGCAAAAGAGUGGUAGCUAGAAUAAGAACAAGUUGGGGGAAGUUCAGGAAGCUACUAUCUUUGCAGGUAACAAAGGGCUUAUCCCUCUUGAUCAAGGGAAGAAUUUUUUAUGCUUGCAUGCAAAGUGCAUUGCUGCACAGCAGCAAGACAUGGACUUUCAGCAAAGAAGACAUGUGAAGAAAAGAAAGCAACUAAGCAGCAUGUUUCACUCACCAUCUAUCCUCUUAACAACUGUCUAUUCUAUACCAUCUCAUCUUCCCUUCAUCUCUUCUGCUCACUGUGCCACACCAACCAAACUGAGAGGAGAGGAUGGACCAAGAGACAGGCACCAAAUAAAUUAUUUGCAGAGUGUCUAAGCCUGGUAUGAGACAAAGAAAGACCAAAACUCUGGACCAACUGCUUGUAACAGAGUAGAGUCUGCUAAAGGUACCCAAGGAUUCAAUGGUGGUGCUAAACAGGAUAACAGAUCAGGUCUCAUCAUUAUCAUCAUCCUCAUCAUCAUUUAGCGUCUACUUUCCAUGCUGGCAUGAGUUAGAUGGUUUUACUGAAGCUAGUGAGCUGAAGGGUUGCACCAGGUUCCAAUCUGAUUUAGCAUGGUUACUAUAGCAGGAUGCCCUUCCUAACACUAACCACUCCAAGGGUGUAAUGGAUGCUUUUUACAUGCCACCAACAUGGAUGCCAGUUAUGUAACACUGACAUCAGCCAUGACUAUGAUUUCACUUGGCUUGAUGGGUUUUCUCAAGCACAGCAUAUCGCCAAAGGUUUCAGUCACUUAUCAUUGCCUCCAUAAGGCCCAAUGUUUAAAGAGUGCAUUUUACGUGCCACUAGCACUGGUGCCAGUUACAUGACACAAGCAUUGGCCAUGACUAUGAUUUCACUUGGCUUGAUGGGUCUUCUCAAGCACAGCAUAUCACCAAAGGGCUCGGUCACUUGUCACUGCCUCUAUAUGGCCCAAUGUUCGGAGAUCAUGCUUCACUACCUCGUCCCAUGUCUUCCUGGGUCUACUCCUUCCACAGUAAACAGAAACACUUCAGUAUGGCACCCCAUGACCAUAAUAUCUAAAACCCAAAAUGUUAUUAAAACUAUCAAGCCUAUAAUUUCAUAAACGAUUUGAAAACAAGACGUUAUCUUUGUAUAUCCCUUUAUCAUUGCUAACCACUUAUAUGACUCACCACCACUGCUACUGUCAAUGCCAGUUUAAUGUUCACUUUUCAUAUCUGCAUGGGUCAGAUAGAAUUUGUUGAAGCAAAUUUUUUUAUGGCUCGAUGCCCAUCCUGUCACCAACCCUCAACUGCUUUCAAGCAAGGUAAUAUUUCCAUAUGGCCAAACAUGUUUCCAUGAGAAGGCUGGGAAUGAAAGCAGGACUUGUAUGACAGUGAGGCUCGUUUAUAACUCAUGUAUGAUAUAAGGGCAAUGAGAAAUAACACCCUCCCUCACACACACACAUGCAUACACAAACACAUACAUGCACACAUAUAUACUUAUACAUAUGUAUGUGUAUGUAUGAUGAGUUCCUUUCAUUUUUCUACCAACCAAAUCCACUCACAAGGCUUUGGUUGGCCCAGGAUCUAGUAAAUACCAAAUAGUGAAGACUGAAAAACCAUGUGGUUGGCAAGCAAACUUCCUAACCACACAGCAAUGCCUGCACCUAUUUAUGUUUGUACCUAUAAUCUUUUGAUCUUAAUUUUUUCAUAUUAGCUUAAUCGUAGUUAUCCAUUUAAGACUAACAUUUCGUUUGUUUACCUCUGAAACAACUCAGCUAGAUCUUGUGGUAGAAUACUGAUAGAACUAAGUAGAUAAUACAGUAAUUUACCCAAAAAGAAAAUGUAUGUAACAAACAUAUUGGUUAUUUUCCUGAUGAAAUGGUUCUGGAGCGGACAUGUUAUAUUCUACUGAUUUAAUAAUGAUGAAUAUGUGAUUGUUUGAUGGAGAUUACAUAUUUUUUCAUGAAAUAGGAUUAGGCUUAAUCAAGUAUUAUUGUAGAGAACACGAAUAGUAAAUCAUUUAAAUAAGCACAGAUAAAAAUCAUAUUUAUAGCUAACAAAGUUUGCAAAUUAUUAAUAUACAAAAAUUACCUUCUUAAUGACUAAUAUAAACAUUAUUUGGAAAAUGUUCAAUAUAGAUUGAUAUUAGAGAUGGUAGAAAAAUGUUGUUUAUUGUGUGUAUCCAUUUUAAAAUAAAAUAUGUUAACGUAUUUUGAGAAAUUGAAGAUGAGUUUUAGAACAAGACAUUAUGACCCUGUAUAUUGUAAGAUGCAACUAAACUGUUUGGCUACAUGAAAGGCAUCUGGUCAUAAAAUACUGCUUCGGAGAACUUGUCCAAACAAUGAAAAAGUGAGGUAAAAUGAUAAUGUUAUUUGUGCAACAGCUUGUUCAUUACAAGCUUUUAUAAUCACACUUUUAAAAGAAUCAUCAUUGCUAAGAAUAUUCUCAAAGGAAUUUGAGCUUUUAAUUUGUGGAAAGAAAAAACAAGCCAAAUUAAUUAAAAAUUAGUUUUCAACUAAAAUGCAAACAUAAUGUAUCAUAGGAGUUUCUCAUUAAGAAUUAAAUGACUUCAUGAAAUAGAAUUUUUUUAAUAUUAUGUUGAAUAUAGAUUUUAUCAUAAAAAGAGCAGCUUUAUCUUUACAUUGGUAUAAAAUUAAAUAAGUCUAUAUCACAAUACAAACAUUAUUUUUAUUAUUAUUAUAUUUUAGCUUACUGAAUAACAUAUAGUGCUGGCUACACUUAAUUAGAUAAGUAUGAAAUAUCUCUUAUAUUUAAAGACAGCAGUUAAAUACAAAGAGUUAAACACAGUAAAAUGUGUUACUAUGGAUUCUGGUUAACCCUUUAGCAUUCGGAUUAUUCUGUCAAAUGUAAUGCUUAUUUAUUCACAAUGUUUCGAAAUAAUUAUGCAUUAUCUUGUAGCUUUGAGACUUCAAUGAUGUGAUUGUUUAUUUUUUGAAUGACAUUGUAGGGUAGCUGUUAAAGGCUUAAUCUUGCCAGUUUGAACAUAAUAUAGCUGGAAUAUUUGAGCCAGAUUGGCCAGUUUAAACACUAAAGGGUUAAAGCAAAAGAACACAUUCUAAUAACGUUUUUCAGAUAUUACACAAAUUUUGUUAUUUGAUCAGCAAGACACUGUGUGGUAUGAUUUGUGGGAGAUCUGGUUGCUACUUUUAUUAGGUUCAGUGAGCCUCUACAGGCUUUCUCACUUAGAGGUUCUCUCACCUUGAGAUUCUUUCACCUAGAGGCUCUGUCAUUGGCUUAAAAUGAUUUAGCAUAAAUAAUUUAGUUUGAGUCAAUCUGAAUUUAAAAUGUAAAAAUGUACAAUUAAUAAUAACACUCGAUAAAGAAUUUCCUACAUGAUUUGGUAACUAUGCUAAAGCAGACAGAUGAGCUUGUAGUCCUCUUGCCUGAUGGUUUCUGUCUAACCAGCCAACCCAUGCCAGCAUGGAAAGUGGAUAGUAAAUGAUGUUGAUGAUGGUAAUGAUGGUGAUUUUAAGAAAUUGCAAUAUAAAGAUCAAAUAUUUAGAAUUGAAUGUAGUUUGAAAAAAAGCUUGUGUUGAAUUUUACUGAAGACCAAAGAAAGUAACUUAAC